UUGCCUCAGUAACGGCGAGUGAAGCGGCAAAAGCUCAAAUUUGAAAUCUGGUACCUGCGGUGCCCGAGUUGUAAUUUGAAGAUAGUUUUCUGGUUUCGGCCCCUGUCUAUGUUCCUUGGAACAGGACGUCACAGAGGGUGAGAAUCCCGUCUGGCGGGGUGUCCGAUUCCGUGUAGAUUUCUAUCGACGAGUCGAGUUGUUUGGGAAUGCAGCUCUAAGUGGGUGGUAAAUUCCAUCUAAAGCUAAAUAUUGGCGAGAGACCGAUAGCGAACAAGUACAGUGAUGGAAAGAUGAAAAGAACUUUGAAAAGAGAGUGAAAAAGUACGUGAAAUUGUUGAAAGGGAAGGGUAUUAGAUCAGACUUGGUGUUUAGUGAUUAUCUUCCCCUCGUGGGUUGUGCACUCGCUCUUCACUGGGCCAGCAUCGGUUCGGGUGGCAGGAUAAUGGCAUGGGAACGUGGCACCGUCUUCGGGCGGUGUGUUAUAUCCCACGCUGAUGCUGCCUGCCUGGACCGAGGACUGCGGCUUCUGCCUAGGAUGCUGGCGUAAUGAUCUAAUACCGCCCGUCUUGAAACACGGACCAAGGAGUCUAACGUCUAUGCGAGUGUUUGGGUGUAAAACCCGUACGCGUAAUGAAAGUGAACGUAGGUGAGAGCUCGCAAGAGCGCAUCAUCGACCGAUCCUGAUGUCUUCGGA
rnacentral:rRNA from 1 species